CACGUACAGAACCUUCCUUUGAGCGGGGAAUAGCCCAGAGAAAUUUGGAUUAAUACCCCAUAGUAUAAUGAAGUGGCAUCACUUUAUUAUUAAAGAUUUAUCACUCGAAGAUGGCUGUGCGGCUGGUUAGGUAGUUGGCGGGGUAAAGGCCCACCAAGCCCUGCGAUCAGUAACUGGUGUGAGAGCACGACCAGUCACACGGGCACUGAGACACGGGCCCGACUCCUACGGGAGGCAGCAGUAAGGAAUAUUGGUCAAUGGAGGCAACUCUGAACCAGCCAUGCCGCGUGGAGGAUGAAGGUCCUCUGGAUUGUAAACUUCUUUUAUAUGGGACGAAAAAAGGCUUUUCUAAGUCGUCUGACGGUACCAUAUGAAUAAGCACCGGCUAACUCCGUG
rnacentral:rRNA from 1 species